rnacentral:sRNA from 1 species
UCGCAGAAUGGAGAAUUCAUGACUCACAAACUUAAACAUACUGAGAAUACUUUCAGCCGCCCUGGAGGGAGGGCCAGCGUGGACACCAAGGAGGCUGAAGGCGCCCCCCAGGUGGAAGCUGGCAAAAGGCUGGAGGAGCUUCGUCGUCGUCGCGGGGAGACCGAGAGCGAAGAGUUCGAGAAGCUCAAACAGAAGCAGCAGGAGGCGGCUUUGGAGCUGGAGGAACUCAAGAAAAAGAGGGAGGAGAGAAGGAAGGUCCUGGAGGAGGAAGAGCAGAGGAGGAAGCAGGAGGAAGCCGAUCGAAAACUCAGAGAGGAGGUAAGGCGGGCGCUAGCCCCUGAGAAUGUUGCCCGGGAAAAUUCCCUAGUGCCAUGCGGCUGCUCUUUUGAGCAUGGGCUCUCAAAAAUAUUUUUUAAGAAUAAUAAACUUACCAUGUGCUAGGUACUGUUCUAGAACUUGUAGACAUAUUAAUUUGUCCACCGCUUCCAAGAACUCGCUGACGUGGGUACUAAUCCCCAUUUUACAGAUGAGAAAACUGAGGCACAGAGAGGUUUUGUUUUUUUGUUUUUUUUUGUUUGUAACUUUCCCGAGGUCUCCCUUGUGUCUGCCUGACAUGCAGGAGGAGCCCCAUCCUUAAAACCCUUUACUG